UACGGGGGGGGCAAGCGUUGGUCGGAAUUACUGGGCGUAAAGGGCUCGUAGGCGGCCAACUAAGUCAGACGUGAAAUCCCUCGGCUUAACCGGGGAACUGCGUCUGAUACUGGAUGGCUUGAGGUUGGGAGAGGGAUGCGGAAUUCCAGGUGUAGCGGUGAAAUGCGUAGAUAUCUGGAGGAACACCGGUGGCGAAGGCGGCAUCCUGGACCAAUUCUGACGCUGAGGAGCGAAAGCCAGGGGAGCAAACGGG
rnacentral:rRNA from 1 species